rnacentral:rRNA from 1 species
CCGGCGCACGGGUGAGUAACACGUAUGCAAUCCACCUGUAACAGGGGGAUAACCCGGAGAAAUCCGGACUAAUACCCCAUAAUAUGGGCGCUCCGCAUGGAGAGCCCAUUAAAGAGAGCAAUUUUGGUUACAGACGAGUAUGCGCUCCAUUAGCCAGUUGGCGGGGUAACGGCCCACCAAAGCGACGAUGGAUAGGGGUUCUGAGAGGAAGGUCCCCCACAUUGGAACUGAGACACGGUCCAA